GAGCAGUCUGAGUCUCUCCAGGCACAUGUAAUAGCAUGAUGACCUUCAUGAUCAGAAGCUGUGGUGAGCAUCUCACUAAAGUCCCUACUGAAGCAGAACUGAAGCUCCUUACCCAUUGAACAACUCUCCAUUCCUUCUUCCCCCCAGCCCCCGACAACCACCAUUCUACUCUCUGUCUCGAAGAAUUUGAUCACUCUGGAUGCCUCUUGUAAGGUUGUGUUCUCUGGCUUCUACACCUGUCAGGUAUAUGCCUGCUCAGGAAUGGGCUGACUCCCUGGAAUCUGAGGCAAAGAGAGAAGGAAGGAGGAGAAGAAGUAAGGAGGAACAACACAGGCUUCUGUCAAAGAAAGGUCAAGAACAACAAGAUUCCGAGCAGAAGCAACAGCAAAAGCAUCUUUCAUCGUUAGGGCACUUCAAGGUUCACAAAGCACCUUCACCUUCAUUACCCUCCAUAACUUACGGGACAUCCUUUCCUGGAAACUGGGACAGAUAUUAUUAUCACCAGUUUACAAGUGAGAAAACUGAGCUCAGACAUAUUUAAGUGACUUGGCCAGACUCACACAUGCUCAGAAGUCUAAGAGCCAUUGUUAACAUUCCUAUUCACCUAUGACGUCUUCCAUUCAGGUGUUUAGAAAAAAAGCUUAGAAUCUUUGCCUCAAGAAAUUUUGAGGCACACACAAACCUGAUAGACUCUCAGAGUUCUUGAAACUACCUCCAUUCAUUUGUUAAAUUAUUUAUGGAAGACUAAAGGAUAUUUGCUACCACCACCAAUAUCUCAGCUUCUCCCAGAGCAUGAAAGACAUGUGAAGUAGAUUAGGAGGAUUCUAGUGCUUUUUUUCAUAAACAUGUUGGCAUUUACUAGCAGGGAGUCCACGGAUGUCUUACCAUGAUCCUGGGAUAUCUGCCUCACCUUUGGUCAUUAAUUAGCCUUGCGUCAUUGGUAUAUUGCAGCUCUCGUUUCCAACUCUGGACCAUCUAGUCUAAAAAUGGUUGAGUGAUUUAUACCUAGUGUAGUACAGAUUGCACUAGGACUCUUUCUUUUUUCUCUCUUUUCAAGGAAUUAUACCAGCAAAUUCGUAUCUAUAUCAGUAGUUUUAAAACUUUUCAUUUUUACCAGAAGAAUACCUUUAAAAAAAAAAAAAGAAUCUUAUGUGGAGCCCAACCACACAACACAGAUAAAAAUGGAACUGGUCUGGUCGAAAGGGAGGAGAUGGGAGACGUGGAGCUGCCAGGAUCCCAGCUACUUGGCAAGCCCCUUACCUCUCACAGGGUAAACUUAAGGCCCUUCUCUUGAACCCUAUAACUCCAAAGAACUGGGAGAAACUACUGGCCUGUAUAAUAAAAUUAAAACAUCAAUUUAUCCUUCCUUUUGUCCAAACAAUAUUUACUGAGUCCCCACUCUGUGUGAGAUACUGUGUUAGAUCUUCCGGGGGUUGGGGGACAGCGGUAACAGAUAGAGGGGAGAAUACGGAGAUGGGACACACCUCAAGUAGUUCACAAUUUAGGAGGAAUAAGUCCACUAAGGACUAUCUACAGUAUAGGGUAGAAAGGAAAUGCCACAACAGAGGUUCAGAUCCAGGGCCUUUAGAAGCAUUCUCCCGACAUGAGGGCUCUAGCUCAAGUUCAUAGAGUACAACAGUAAUACCAUAACUACGGACGGGGCCUUGGUCCUGCUGAAGCAUCCAAGAAAAAUUUCAGUGCAUGAAAGUUAUCUCUGAGAGGAAAGAUUAUGGCCAGCUUCUAAUUGUCAUCAUGCUUUGUAAAAAAUAAUUUUCAAGUUUCUACACAUUAU